ensembl:lncRNA
GCGCCCGGGAAACAAUACAUGUGUUCUUGUUUGUGUUUGCCAGGCUAGCAGAUGUCUGAGCUCUGAAGGGCUUUUCUUUUCCCAUGGCACUGAUUCUGACUUAGCGCUGAAGAUCACUGAAACAUCCCCUUGAGUUCAAAGGACUCUGGUCUUUGUCCUCUGAGGUAGGACAGGACAGUUAUCAUAUUAAGCAUUUUGCUGCAGCGUCUGCUCACAAUAUCAGCUGGAAUCAUUUUUCUUUGCCCAGAAAGCCUUAAUUUGCCUCUAGAAUAUCCCCUGGUAGGACAAUGCUAUUUGGCUGCAGAAUUGAAAUUCUCCUGCUAUAUAAGUCUGCAUCAAAGCCACAGCAAACCAGAGAAUGUUACAUUAGGCACCUCCCACACCUUGACAAUCAAGAGCAGUCUGGACCUGGCCACACACCUGGUCUCUGAUGUCUUUCUUCCUUUUUGGCCUCACUCUGUAGUUAGUUGGAUGCUUCCAAAAGCCAUGAAAAGUGGCAGAAGCCUGCGUGUGGCAUUUAGUGGCCAAGCAAUUGAGGGAAAGGUGUUCUCCCCAUGUUAUCAAAGCAGAGGAAAUUGUCCGCCACCCCACCCCGCCCCCGCAACUUCCCUGGUGGUCCGUGUCAAGACUCCGCACUCCCAGUGCAAGGGGCAAGGUUCAGUUCCUGGUCAGAGAGCUAAGAUCCUGCAUACUGCAAGCAUGGCCAAAAAAAUACAGAAGAAAAUAGCCACCACCAACCCCCUUCAUAUACUAAGAUAGCUUUUGCCAAAUUGUAUUUGAAGGGGAGCAGGCAGUGAGAACUGGAAUGCUGUCCAAAACUAAAGCUGCUUCCUCUUGUGUGUUCUCUGCUGCUGCUGCCUCAGCCGCUGUACCCCAAGCACCCCCUGCCGCGCAAGUGGCCCUCAGAGGCAGGCUGCAGAGCCCGGCUCAGCGGUGGUUCUCAGACCCCAGGACAGCGGACAGCUGCCCCUUUUGAAGGAGCCAGCCCCUCCUUCCCAACACAUCAUGUUUUCUGAACCAUGUUUUUCCCAGCAUGUAUGUGGAUAAAACAUUCAUCUAUCUCUAAUGAGUAAGCUGAAGUUAAUUUUGAACCGCUGGAUUGUCUUUGUAACUCAACUCCUGUCAAUUAGUAACGAAGCCUAUAACCUGCCUUCCCUCCCUCCUGGUGUCCCCAUUAGCCAAGACAUCCAUUGCCGCAAGUUAGGGACCGACCACCUAUAUAGCACCUGCACAAAUGCCCUUCAUUGCCGUGGGGCAUUCUCCUUCCAGGCCACCCACGUGCCGCGGCCAACAGUCCCCUAGCACGACGGCUGUGCCCCAGUCCCAGUGCCAGUCACCUCCUCCCCAGCCUGUUUGUGGGGGGUGGACCAAGUUCCUGGGCAGGCGUGGGAGUUAGGUUUCCUUUGGUUUUUGUUUGGGGCCUCUUUAGUCUUCCUAAAGCACAAGUCCUUGUAGACUCCUGUCCCCUCUUUUCCACACCAGUCUCAGACGAUCUGGGUCUUGCCCACCGCCUCAGGAAGACCUUCACUGUACCUGAGCUUCUGAUUUCUGCCACUGCAGCUGCCUUAGUGACACCAGGGGCUGGGGGGGUGUGGGGGUGGGGGAGCCAGUUUGCAUCUCCCCCCUUUCCUGGUUAGACUCCCAUGAACCACUUUCUUUCUGUUGGCAAGAUGUGCUUCCAGGUUGAUUUUUGAGAACCAUCACUUACACAUUCCUAAAUUUCUGUUUUGUUUGAUUUUGGUUUCUUGGUUUGUUUUGUUGUUGUUGUUGUUAAUUUUCUGAAACUUCAAAUGCUGCCCUGAAAAUAAUGUAUUUUUGAGUUUGUGUUUAAGAUUUGCAACUAGCAAUGCAAUUUUUUCUAAAUAUGAGGAUAUUUACCUUUAUUAAGAAAUUAUACUAAACAGUGGUGUCCUUGAUCAUUUUAUGUUCUCAUAAAUUACUUUUGGUUCUGUUUUGAUUCUGUGUGGUGGUAAACAAAGAUCAUUACAAACAAAAGCUGUAAUUUUGUUAUCUUUGAUUCAGUGGAAUUUCUUUACUUAAAAAAAUAAAUAAAUAAAAGACUAAAAAUGUGACCUGGCUGUGCAGUCAUUUGUAGUGGAGAUUUUCUAUCUGUGAAUAAAAGGAUUCUUCUUGGGCUUGCCUAGUGGUUCAGUGGGCUAAGA